ACAACCUUACAUUUGUUGAUUGUAACAAUUGGUGCUUUAAUGCAGAGGAUUCGAUCAAUGACCCAUACAAUUAAUUAGAAUGACAGAGAAGAUUCAAAGGUGCUGCGAGGUUUGUCCCAAUCUAUCCUUUGACGAUGGUGGUGAUGGGUUUUUCUAUUGCACUGGUUGCGGCUCUCAAGCAAAUGACAUCAUUGACACGGGUGUCAUUGCCAUAAUGGAGAUGAUGGAGUUGGGCCUGCAGUGAUUAGUAAUUUUGGAUCAUCUCAAAUUUCUUUGACUUACAGAGACUAUUAUUCAGAGAUCCGGUUGAGGUAUGUUAUGGGGUUACAAGCUAUGAUCCAAAUGCGCGCAGUGCAAGACUCUGGUGGAGAAAUUUAACGUAAGCCCGCUGAUUGUUGGGCUUGCUGGACCUAUUUGGUUAAGACUCUUGGCACAUGAAAACGGGCAGACAAUGUCAUCCAUGAAUCAGAGUCUCAAAUUCAAGGGGAAAUAGAACUUUCUCAGCCAACUGGCAGCCAGAAAACAGAACCUCACAAUUUACUUGGAAAGAGGGCAGUAACCAUAUGGCAUAAAUCUUUGAGCAGCAUGGUUCCAUUACCUUGUUCUCUGGCUAUCUCUUUUCUUGUCUGUCACGUGGCAAGGGAAUCAAUCUUGCCAACAGACAUAUUGAAGUGGACCUUAGAAGGAAAGCUCCCAUAUUUCGCUGCUUUUCUUGAAAUAGAGAAGCAGUUGGGACCUCCUUCAAGGUCCUGCCCUAUCAGUACCAUUUGUAUGUUAAGGCCUAUCAGAACUGUCACCUUACAAAAGUUAGAGUUCCUUGCUGCCUCAAUCGCCAGGAAAAUAGGCUUGGAAUUGCCUUCAGUGAACUUCCAUGCUAUAGCUGCCCGUUAUCUCAAGCAUUUAUCGCUUCCUGUUGAGAAAAUUCUUCCUCAGGCAUGUCAAGUGUAUGAGUGGUCUAUGCCUCCGGAGUUGUAUUUAUCAGAUAAUGACUCCAGGCUACCUUCUCGUGUUUGUGUGAUGUCUAUACUGAUUGUGACAAUGAGGAUUCUUUAUGACCUAAAUGGCGGAAAAUGGGAAUUGAUUGCAUCUUGUUCCAAUAAUUUAGUGUCUGCUGUUGAGUGUUGAGAAUGGAGCUGGAGAAUGCGGUUUCAGUUGCAAUGCAAGAGGUGCUGUUGCCGAGGAUGACUCUGCUUCACGUGAUUCGGAUCCUCAUGACAGUAUGAGUAAAUCUAAUUCUGAUGCUUUGAAACUCUUGAAAAUUAUUGAAGAAAAGUUUCUUUUCUUGUUUGACAGAAUUUUCAAAAGAUUUACAUUCAUAUCUUCCAUACUGCAAAGAUGUGGACUAGGACCUGCUUACGACGAUCAUGAAGAAAAAAAACUAAUAGAAGUUUUUUGGGACUCCUAUCAAAGCCGUAAGGCUGGCAAAGCAUCAGAAGAUAGGAAAACAAACUCCCACACUUGUAACAAUUUUCACCAUAGCGGAUUCAGACAUGGAUGCAGCAGCACACCAAAAGAAAGCGAGAACUUUAGGGAUGAUGCAUGCAAAUGCAAAUGCAAAUGCAAAAUGUCAAGGGACGAUGGUGAUUCAAACGCGACAUUAAGACAGCUGAAAGCAGAUAUGAAAGAGAAUCGAUGUGAAGAAGAAAGAUGGGUACAUCAGGUAUGCUAGAAAAGAAAACGGGGCUUAUCUUUAUGCAGUACAUGCUGAUUAUUACAUAUUACUUCGAUCUUGUGCUAAGGUUGCACAAGUUGAUGUUAGGACUAUGCAUGUUGGAGUAUUGGCAUUUGAGAAAAGAUUGGAAAUGCUAGAAAGAAGAAUACAUUUUUGUUUAUGUAAGAGACUUCCUGAUGAUUUCUGGGAAUUUUGUUGCGAUUGGUAAAGAAACUCUUCAUAUUUAGCCAACUGCCUUUGCGGAAGAUUUGGUUUUGUAGUCCAUUACAUUCCGAUAGGAGAUGUAUAUAGAAACAUCUUAUUUUAUUCCAAUUGUAAAUGAGCAUAUGAGAUCAUUUCCACGAGA